rnacentral:sRNA from 1 species
UGUUCCUAAUAAGAACUAUAUUGGCAGUGUGGUUCUAGCUGGCCCUGUAUGACUUAGAGAUUACGAAAUCACGAGAUAGAACUAAAAGUAUAGGUUAUUACCUAUACUUUUUUG